rnacentral:rRNA from 1 species
AUGCACGCUGGCGGCGUGCCUCAUACCUGCCAGUCGAGCGAACAGAUGAGGAUCUUGCUCCUCUGACGUUAGCGGCGGACGGGUGAGUAACACGUGGAUAACCUACCUAUAAGACUGGGAUAACUUCGGGAAACCGGAGCUAAUACCGGAUAAUAUAUUGAACCGCAUGGUUCAAUAGUGAAAGACGGUUUUGCUGUCACUUAUAGAUGGAUCCGCGCCGCAUUAGCUAGUUGGUAAGGUAACGGCUUACCAAGGCAACGAUGCGUAGCCGACCUGAGAGGGUGAUCGGCCACACUGGAACUGAGACACGGUCCAGACUCCUACGGGAGGCAGCAGUAGGGAAUCUUCCGCAAUGGGCGAAAGCCUGACGGAGCAACGCCGCGUGAGUGAUGAAGGUCUUCGGAUCGUAAAACUCUGUUAUUAGGGAAGAACAAAUGUGUAAGUAACUAUGCACGUCUUGACGGUACCUAAUCAGAAAGCCACGGCUAACUACGUG